UUUGUUGUGGGAGGCGUAUGGGUUAACCCUAGUUUUCUGUUCUGCGGAUUUGUGAUGUUGUGCCAAACACACCUAUCCGAUUUGCAUACAUUUGGAUUCGCGGUCCAAUGUGUGAUUUGCCUGUGUGGCAUUAUUUUGGUUGCCUGUGUGGCAUUAUUUUGACUUGCCUGUGUGGCAAUGUGUAUUUCUGAGCUCAUUCGGUAUAAAAUAACUCCAGCCAUUUAUUUUAGCCUAUUAUUUUAUUGGAUUAGUUUUGUUGAUUUCUGUUCAGUUCAAGUCAUUGAGUUAGUUACUUCAGUUCGUUAUUUCUUUAUUCUUUUAUUGGUUUCGUCAAUUACGUUAAUUCAGAUAUAUUCAUUACGUUGAUUCAAAUAUAUUCCAUUCAAAUCUUUGGAUAUCAUAUUUUCGUUCGUAUUUGCACUUAAGGUUUUGUUCAGUAUUUUGUCUCAGUUAUUUUCGUAUAUCAGUUGUAUAUCUUUUGUAUAUCUGUAUCCGUACUGGG
rnacentral:lncRNA from 1 species